rnacentral:rRNA from 1 species
UACAGAGGUUACAAGCGUUAUCCGGAUUUAUUGGGCGUAAAGCGUUUCGUAGGCGGAUUUUUAAGUUACCCUUCAAAGACUACGGCUUAACCGGAGGAAGGGGGGUAAUACUGAAAGUCUUGAUUUUUAGUGGGGUAUCUGGAACUGAUGGUGUAGUAGUGAAAUACGUUGAUAUCAUCAGGAACUCCGAGGGCGAAGGCAGGAUACUAACUAUCAUAUGACGCUGAGGAACGACAGCUAGGGGAGCGAAAGGG